GACUUCUAUAUUCUACAACCUUAAUAUCUAAUCAUUCAAUUCAAAUCCUCUCUGAUAUAUCACUAGAGUGGCCGCUGGGACCAUGAAUUACACAUUUGAUUUGAUUUAAUUUGAUCCCAGUCCAUUUCUUAGUGUGAUUUCCAGUGGGACCAUGAUUAGACAGAAGUGUAAAGUGACUGACUAUCAAAAAUAAGAACAUGACCUGGGACUGAUCAUGAUUUUGACUGAAAUUUGAUCCCAUUUUGAUGAUUAUAUAAUACAUAUCUAGAUAUCAAUCUGAUGAUAUUAUUGGUGGAGAUAUUACCUCUAUCUAUCACUACUGCUGCCAAUCUUGCUAAGCUAUCCCUCGCUGCUUAGCUAUCCCUCGCUGCUAAUCUAUCUAUCACUGCCAAUUUAUCUAUCGCUGCUAAUCUAUCUACCGCUGCCAAUCUAUAUAGGGUAAAUCAUGGUCCCGUUUGGUCCCAUUUUGUAAAAUGGGACCAAAUGGGACCAGAAUCAGUAAUUUAUAAGAAGAACAUGACCUGGGACUAGAUUUAUAAUAUAAACAGUGUAAAGUGACUGAUUUGAUAAACACUAUAUGGGACCAGGACUAAGAUAUUUGAG
rnacentral:sRNA from 1 species